rnacentral:rRNA from 1 species
CGCCUGGGGAGUACGGCCGCAAGGUUAAAACUCAAAUGAAUUGACGGGGGCCCGCACAAGCGGUGGAGCAUGUGGUUUAAUUCGACGCAACGCGAAGAACCUUACCUGGCCUUGACAUCCAGAGAACUUUCCAGAGAUGGAUUGGUGCCUUCGGGAACUCUGAGACAGGUGCUGCAUGGCCGUCGUCAGCUCGUGUCGUGAGAUGUUGGGUUAAGUCCCGUAACGAGCGCAACCCCUAUCCCUGGUUGCUAGCAGGUAAUGCUGAGAACUCCAGGGAGACUGCCGGUGACAAACCGGAGGAAGGUGGGGAUGACGUCAGGUCAUCAUGGCCCUUACGGCCAGGGCUACACACGUGCUACAAUGGCGCGUACAGAGGGCUGCCAACUCGCGAGAGUGAGCCAAUCCCUUAAAACGCGUCGUAGUCCGGAUCGGAGUCUGCAACUCGACUCCGUGAAGUCGGAAUCGCUAGUAAUCGCGAAUCAGAAUGUCGCGGUGAAUACGUUCCCGGGCCUUGUACACACCGCCCGUCACACCAUGGGAGUGGAUUGCACCAGAAGUAGUUAGUCUAACCUUCGGGAGGACGAUUACCACGGUGUGGUUCAUGACUGGGGUGAAGUCGUAACAAGGUAACCGUA